AGAUCAAUGAGUUCAAGGCCAGCCUGGGACAGAGCAAGUUCCAAGUAAAGAACAAUUUAAGUCCAGGAAUGGUGGUGCAUACCUCUAAUCUGGGCCAUACCUUCUGCUGGAGGCCUACAUAAGAACAAUGGGAAAAGAAGGCGUUCUUUAUCUUUGCCUGCUUUACUUAUUUGCUAACACACCUCUUGGAACCUACUCCUUCAGGAUUCCAGCUUAUACAGAAGGCCAGCGGAAACACCUAGCCUCCUGGGACUGAGCAGUUAGUGACUAGAUUCUUGGCCUUUCCCUUCACAGCUGCCCAUUGUUGGGUUAGCUGGACUGCAGACUGUAACUCAUCCAGGUAAUUUCCCUUCAUCUAUAGAGGCAUUCCUUAAGUUCUGAGAUUCCAGAGAACUCUGACUAAUACAGAAGACAAAUCUUAUUGAAAGGGACCUGGAUACUCUAUAAAUCACAAGGAUGGGCCUGAGAAGUUGAUAACUCUGUUUACCUGGAGAAGACAAUUAUUACAAACGUAUCACUAGAUGCUCAGAGGUCGCAGCAGGCCAUUUUGAGCAGGCAGAAUUGUCUAGAUUGUGCUAACCACUGGGGAAUUCAGUUACAGAAAUCGUGUCUCCAUAUGCAAAUAUGUUUCUGGAGGGGGGUUUUUAGAAUAACGCAACACACCCCAGUUUGCAAUCUCUGUAUUUGCAUGCAACCGCUUGCCAAAGCCCUAGGAAGUUAAGAUAGUGAUCUCAAUGUUUGUUUUUAGGCAACCUAAUGGGAAAACAAAGAGGCUUCUUUUCAGGUUUUCUACAAAACACACUAAGAAAUAGGUUUGGUUUCGGCAACAGCAAGAACAGCCAGCCUUAGAAUCUUCUUAAAUCCCCAAGCAAUAAAAACAAAAUCCCAAUGUGUCAGUUACCUAUACAUUUCUCAUACCAGACAGUGUCAACGUGAGUGUAUCAAUUUUGUAAGAAAUAGUACUUAUCUACACAUAAGCACAUGUGCACUUUUUAUUUUGUUCCUGAGUAGGAUUGUCACCACCACAAAUGUCUCUCCAUCUGUAGGUUUUGCUAGACCCACAUAAGGACUUGAUGGUAGCGGCCCUUGGGUGCUCACAGGAGAAGAAGCCAUCUUAGCAUGUCAACCUGAAAUUUAGAGUCUAAGUAACAUCAGCCAGGCAACGUGGUGCACACCUUUAAUGUCAGCACUCCUAAGGCAGCAGCAGGAGGAUCUCUGAGUUUGAGGCCAGCCUGGUCUACAGAGCAAGGUCCCGAACAGCCAACUCUGUGUAAUGUCAUUGACUGAUAAUGACCAAUACUGCUUUCCCACACGGCUUUCCUGUGCUGGUCUUCCUUACGGCGUUUAUGCCCUGCUGUGGUACUGUUUGCACAGUGCGAGUUCCCUCUCAUAGUUAACAUUCUCUGGAAACACACUCACAGACAGUCCGUGUGGACCUACUAGUCCCCAAGGCGCUUCCCAAUCCAAUCAGGUUGACAAUCAAGAAGGACCAUUACUAUGAAGCGUAUUUCUGGAUGGACAAUGAAGCGAGACGUGGAAGAGAUGAGAGUAAAAAGGAAGAAAAGAGCAUAAGGUAGGCUCGAGUUUACGGGGUUUCUCUGGGGAGCCCUGGCUGUUCUAGAACUCACUCUGUCGACCAGGCUAGCCUUAAACUCACACCGAUCUGCCCGCCUCUGCCUCCCGAGUGCUGGAAUCAAAGGUGUGCGCUACUACGGCCUGGCUUGGGAGUCCAAGAAGCAGCCAGGGAAGCCGAAGCACAGAGCAGGUGAAGAGAGAUACCUCAAGGCUGUCCGCAGGACAACUGCCCUAUAUGUUCAAGAAACAAAGAGUCAACACUGAAGAGAGACGGGGAAGAGGAUUCAUGGAGGAGCUGCAGGUUCACCCAAGGUGAGGUAGAGACCUACCACACGGUUAGGAUUGAAGAGGCCUUAGUUGCAUGUGGAAAAGGCUCGCGGACGGCUGUUCUGAAAAAGGAUCUGAGGACUCAGAAGACAGCCACCUGACCCAGGAGGGAAUGCUUGGCUGCUCCUGACGGAAAGAGUACACACAGCGCCUCCUUCUGAAAGAGACAAUGUGGAAAGAGGAGGAGAAAGAGAGGUUUUAUGAUGUGGGUACCCAACAGACACUGCCUUCGUCAUGGUAAAUGUAGGCAGAGAUGCAUCAGAAGUAUGGACCCGAAGGAAUGACCAUCCAGAGACUGCCCCACCUGGGGAUCCAUCCCAUAAACAACCACCAAAACCAGACACUAUUGCAGAUGCCAAUAAGAGCUUGCUGACAGGAGCCUGGUAUAGCUGUCUCCUGAGAGGCUCUGCCAGUGCCUGACAAAUACAGAAGUGGAUGCUCACAGCCAUCCAUUGGACGGAGCACAAGGUCCCCAAUGGAGGAGCUAGAGAAAGGACCCAAGGAGUUGAAGGGGUUUGCAGCCCCAUAGGAGGAACAACAAUAUGAACUAACCAGUACCUCUAGAGCUCCCUGGGACUAAACCACCAACCAAAGAAAACACAUGGUGGGACUUGUGGCUCUAGCUGCAUAUGUAGUAGAGGAUGGCCUUGUCGGUCAUCAAUGGGAAGAGAGGCUCUUGGCCCUGUGAAGGUUCUAUGCCCCAGCAUAGGGGAAUGCCAGUGCCAGGAAGCAGGAGUGGGUGGGUUGGUUAACGGGGGGAGGGGAAACUAGGAAAGGGGAUAACAUUUGAAAUGUAAAUAAAGAAAAUAUCUAAUAAAAAUUUUAAAAAAUAAUAAAAAGAAGUAUAGGCCCUUGUUAAGCUGUGCUGAAAAUGGCCGUUUACCUCCGUGAUUUUUAUCCCCCCAGACUCAUAACCUUACUGUAAUAAUGAGAAAGGCACUGAUAAAUCUCAAUCGAGGAGCACUGUACUGGCUGGUUUUGUGUGUCAACUUGACACAAGCUGCAGUUAUCACAGAGAAAGGAGCCCUCCCUUGAGGAAAUGCCUCUAUGAGAUCCAGCUGUAAGGCAUUUUCUCAAUUAGUGAUGGGGUUGGGGGAGGGCCCAUUAUGGGUGGUGCCAUCCCUGGGCUGGUGGUCCUGUGUUCUAUAAGAAAGCAAGCUGAGCAAGCCAGGGAAAGCAAGCCAGUAAGUAACAUUCCUCCAUGGCCUCUGCAUCAGCUCCUGCUUCCUGACCUGCUUGAAUUCCAGUCCUGAUUUCCUUUUGUUGAUGAAUAGCAAUGUGGAAGUGUAAGCUGAAUAAACCCUUUCCUCCCCAA